rnacentral:rRNA from 1 species
UGUGUAGGCGGUUGUUUAAGUUUGGUGUGAAAUCUCCCGGCUCAACUGGGAGGGUGCGCCGAAUACUGAAUGACUUCGAGUGCGGGAGAGGAAAGUGGAAUUCCUGGUGUAGCGGUGAAAUGCGUAGAUAUCAGGAGGAACACCGGUGGUGUAGACGGCUUUCUGGACCGUAACUGACGCUGAGACACGAAAGCGUGGGUAGCAAACA